AACGAACGCUGGCGGCAUGCCUAACACAUGCAAGUCGAACGAGCCCUUCGGGUCUAGUCGCGCACGGGUUCGUCACGCGUGGGAACCUGCCCUUGGGUUCGGCCUACCUCCCCGACAGGGGUGCUAAUGGCGGAUCAUGUCUUCUGACCAAAGAUUUAUCGACCUUGGAUGGUCCCGCGUUGGAUUAGCUAGUUCGUAGGGUAAAAGCUUGCCCAGACGAUGAUCAAUAGCUGGUUAGAGAGGAUGAUCAGCAACACCGGGACGGAGACACGGCCCAGACUCCUACGGGAGGCAGCAGUAGGGAAUAUUGGAAAAGGGGCGAAAGUCUGAUCGAGCAAUGCCGCGUGAGUGAUUAAUGCCUGAGGGUUGUAAAGCUCUUUUACACGGGAUGAGAAUGACAGGACCGGGAGAAUAAGCUCCGGCUAACUCCGUG
rnacentral:rRNA from 1 species